rnacentral:piRNA from 1 species
UUGUAUGCGCUCUCAUCUCUGCC